AGUGAACGCUGGCGGUAGGCCUAACACAUGCAAGUCGAACGGCAGCACAGUAAGAGCUUGCUCUUACGGGUGGCGAGUGGCGGACGGGUGAGGAAUACAUCGGAAUCUACUUUUUCGUGGGGGAUAACGUAGGGAAACUUACGCUAAUACCGCAUACGACCUACGGGUGAAAGCAGGGGAUCUUCGGACCUUGCGCGAUUGAAUGAGCCGAUGUCGGAUUAGCUAGUUGGCGGGGUAAAGGCCCACCAAGGCGACGAUCCGUAGCUGGUCUGAGAGGAUGAUCAGCCACACUGGAACUGAGACACGGUCCAGACUCCUACGGGAGGAAGCAGUGGGGAAUAUUGGACAAUGGGCGCAAGCCUGAUCCAGCCAUACCGCGUGGGUGAAGCAGGCCUUCGGGUUGUAAAGCCCUUUUGUUGGGAAAGAAAAGCAGCAGGUUAACACCCCGCUGUUCUGACGGUACCCAAAGAAUAAGCACCGGCUAACUUCGUG
rnacentral:rRNA from 1 species